rnacentral:rRNA from 1 species
AGUGAACGCUGGCGGUAGGCCUAACACAUGCAAUUCGAACGGCAGCACAGUAAGAGCUUGCUCUUACGGGUGGCGAGUGGCGGACGGGUGAGGAAUACAUCGGAAUCUACUUUUUCGUGGGGGAUAACGUAGGGAACCUUACGCUAAUACCGCAUACGACCUACGGGUGAAAGAAGGGGAUCUUCGGACCUUGCGCGAUUGAAUGAGCCGAUGUCGGAUUAGCUAGUUGGCGGGGUAAAGGCCCACCAAGGCGACGAUCCGUAGCUGGUCUGAGAGGAUGAUCAGCCACACUGGAACUGAGACACGGUCCAGACUCCUACGGGAGGCAGCAGUGGGGAAUAUUGGACAAUGGGCGCAAGCCUGAUCCAGCCAUACCGCGUGGGUGAAGAAGGCCUUCGGGUUGUAAAGCCCUUUUGUUGGGAAAGAAAAGCAGCAGGUUAAUACCCCGCUGUUCUGACGGUACCCAAAGAAUAAGCACCGGCUAAUUUCGUG